rnacentral:tRNA from 1 species
GGGGAGGUUCCCGAGUGGCCAAAGGGACCAGACUGUAAAUCUGGCGGAUGAAUCCUUCGGAGGUUCGAAUCCUCCCCUCCCCA